UGGCAUCUCACAUUAUAGUAAUGCAAUUUAUGAUAUUGAAGUUUGUUUUGUAAAAAAAUUCAUGAAUGGACAUAAAACUCUGAUUUUGAAGUUGUUCAGCUGUUUAAUGGAGUAUGUUUAAGCAAUUGAAAAGGGCAUUUGCCAAUCUAUAGUGUAUGCUGCUCUUUUUGUUAUUUAUUUGUCAAUGCAAAUCCAGUCUAUAGUGUAUGCUAAUGUACUUAAGAUCAAUCAAACUAGGAUUUCUUUGCUUUGUAUGUUUUUGUUCUUUCUUCUAUUGGUGUCUAAUUGCAAA
rnacentral:misc_RNA from 1 species